AGAGUUUGAUCCUGGCUCAGGAUGAACGCUGACAGAAUGCUUAACACAUGCAAGUCAACUUGAACUUCGGUUUGGGUGGCGGACGGGUGAGUAACGCGUAAAGAACUUGCCUCACAGUUAGGGACAACAUUUGGAAACGAAUGCUAAUACCUGAUAUUAUGAUUUUAGGGCAUCCUAGAAUUAUGAAAGCUAUAUGCGCUGUGAGAGAGCUUUGCGUCCCAUUAGCUAGUUGGAGAGGUAACGGCUCACCAAGGCGAUGAUGGGUAGCCGGCCUGAGAGGGUGAACGGCCACAAGGGGACUGAGACACGGCCCUUACUCCUACGGGAGGCAGCAGUGGGGAAUAUUGGACAAUGGACCAAGAGUCUGAUCCAGCAAUUCUGUGUGCACGAUGAAGUUUUUCGGAAUGUAAAGUGCUUUCAGUUGGGAAGAAAAAAAUGACGGUACCAACAGAAGAAGUGACGGCUAAAUACGUGCCAGCAGCCGCGGUAAUACGUAUGUCACAAGCGUUAUCCGGAUUUAUUGGGCGUAAAGCGCGUCUAGGUGGUUAUGUAAGUCUGAUGUGAAAAUGCAGGGCUCAACUCUGUAUUGCGUUGGAAACUGUGUAACUAGAGUACUGGAGAGGUAAGCGGAACUACAAGUGUAGAGGUGAAAUUCGUAGAUAUUUGUAGGAAUGCCGAUGGGGAAGCCAGCUUACUGGACAGAUACUGACGCUAAAGCGCGAAAGCGUGGGUAGCAAACAGGAUUAGAUACCCUGGUAGUCCACGCCGUAAACGAUGAUUACUAGGUGUUGGGGGUCGAACCUCAGCGCCCAAGCAAACGCGAUAAGUAAUCCGCCUGGGGAGUACGUACGCAAGUAUGAAACUCAAAGGAAUUGACGGGGACCCGCACAAGCGGUGGAGCAUGUGGUUUAAUUCGACGCAACGCGAGGAACCUUACCAGCGUUUGACAUCUUAGGAAUGAGACAGAGAUGUUUCAGUGUCCCUUCGGGGAAACCUAAAGACAGGUGGUGCAUGGCUGUCGUCAGCUCGUGUCGUGAGAUGUUGGGUUAAGUCCCGCAACGAGCGCAA
rnacentral:rRNA from 1 species